GUGGGUUUCAGCGCUUACUUCAGAAGAGCAAAAGAAUAGAUCCAGGCACAGCCCAAAGGAAUGAGCUCUAAAAGAUAUUAAUAAUGCUACUAUCACAGACACACCAACUUCUCUCCAUGAAGGGGCUGUGGAAAUCAUGUUGACGCUGCUCCAGGGUGCCCUAGAAUCAAAGGAUGGCCGUUGCCGUGGGUACACCGCCUCUGAAAUUGCAGAAGGGCUGACACUGAUCGCAACAUGUGAGAAAAACAAGAACAAGAUAUUUGAGUCUGGGGCUAUUCCACAAUGUGAGGUGAUGAUGAAGAGCGAAGAUUACCGCAUUAGACUGUUUGCCACCAAGCUUAUCUGGCAGCUUGCCUUUAACUGCACAAUACGGGAAGAACUGGAAUCAAACAGUACCCUGAUGGAGUUGCUGGACAGACUGUCUAAAGACACAAACAAAGAAGUCUGUAACUCAACCCAUGGAGCUCUCUGGGUUAUUCAGAAGCAGUCAAAGGAGAAGGCCAGGCCGCCCUCAGCAGCCGUAACAGGGCCACCUGGGCACAUCAUGAUCAGCUACCAGUGGAAUAGCCAGGGGACCAUGUUGAAGGUCAACAGAGCCCUUCAGGAUGCUGGCAUCAAGGUGUGGAUGGAUGUGGAGCAAAUGGCAGGCUCUACUCUACAGGCCAUGGCAGAGGCAGUGGAGAAGGCAUCAGUGGUGCUCAUCGGGGUCUCUGCCAAGUACAAAGACAGCCCAAACUGCAGGACUGAGGCUGAAUACACCUUUGAGCUGAGAAAAGAAAUCAUCCCCCUCAUGAUGGAACAGAACUACAAGCCUGAUGGGUGGCUGGGAGCUUUAUUAGGAACAAAACUCUGGAUUGACUUCAGUGAACAGUGCAAUUUUGAAGAAAGUAUAAAGCAGCUCAUUAGGGACAUUAAGAGUUGCACACCAGUGCCAAGAGAAGUGGUGAUGUGUAACAAAGGUAAUAAAACAAAGGUAAUCCAACAGAGAAUCUAAUUCUCCCAUAAAUGAUUAUUUCUUUUUCUCAAUACCACCCAAAUUGUCACCAAAGUACUACCUAAGGGCAAAUCUUGAUGCACCACUAACAGUAUGAGGGACAGCAGUGGCACAGAACACUAGCCUUUCCAGUUUAAUGUGAAAUAUUAAAUGUAACAGCUGGGAAGAGAAGACAUGUCAAGAAGAAAAAUAUGCUGU
rnacentral:lncRNA from 1 species